rnacentral:tRNA from 1 species
GUCCGCAUCGUCUAUUCAGGUAUUAGGACUCUUGCCUUUCACGCAAGGAAAUCCGGUUCGAUUCCGGAUGUGGACACCA